GUGCUCGCUUCAGCAGCACGUGUAUUAAAAUUGCAACAAUACGAAGAUAUGCAUUGCCUGUACAAGGAUGACACGCAAAUUCAUGAAGCAUUCCAUAUUUUG
ensembl:snRNA U6 U6 spliceosomal RNA